rnacentral:lncRNA from 1 species
CGAUCAGCAGGUUCUGAGAAACAAUACCUGUCUCUGAGCAACUGAAAGCACGGAAACUGCUUGGAGAGUAAAGACUAGUAUCAGUAUUUCCACUGAGAGAGUUGAAAUGACAAUCAUUGAAGAGAUCAUUGCAGARCAGCACAUGAAAUUAAAAAAGACAUUUUCCAAGGUUCUCUGCUGUUGCUUUCAAACUGACUUGCAAGAAUCCUCUCAGGAUAGCCCAUCAUCAUUAUAACAAGUGACCUGAUAAAGAAGACGGACAAUUUGUAGCUUCAUUCUGUAUCACAAGACAAGCUUUAAAUUUUAAGUGCUGAUUCAAUAAGUGAAAUACCAUUAUAUUACAUUGUGAUUUCACCUGUA